GGGGAAUUUUGGACAAUGGGCGCAAGCCUGAUCCAGCCAUUCCGCGUGAGUGAAGAAGGCCUUCGGGUUGUAAAGCUCUUUCGCAAGGGAAGAAAACUUAGCCACUAACAUUGGCUGAGGUUGACGGUACCUUGAUAAGAAGCACCGGCUAACUACGUGCCAGCAGCCGCGGUAAUACGUAGGGUGCGAGCGUUAAUCGGAAUUACUGGGCGUAAAGCGUGCGCAGGCGGCUUUGUAAGUCAGAUGUGAAAUCCCCGAGCUCAACUUGGGAACUGCGUUUGAAACUACAAGGCUAGAAUAUGUCAGAGGGGGGUAGAAUUCCACGUGUAGCAGUGAAAUGCGUAGAGAUGUGGAGGAAUACCAAUGGCGAAGGCAGCCCCCUGGGAUAAUAUUGACGCUCAUGCACGAAAGCGUGGGGAGCAAAC
rnacentral:rRNA from 1 species